CUCCACCACCUCUCUGGGCAGCCCAUUCCAGUGCCUGACCACCCUUUCAGAGAAGUAGCAUUUCCUAGCAUCCAGCCUGAACCUUCCCUGGUGCAGCUAGAAGCCAUUCCCUCUAGUCCUAUCACUAGUCACACGAGAGAAGAGGACGACCCCCAGCUCACUACAACCUCCCUUCAGAUAGUUAUAGAGAGCAAUAAGGUCUCCCCUGAGCCUCCUCUUCUCUAGACUGAACAAUCCCAGCUCCUUCAGCCGCUCCUCAUAAGGCCUGUGCUCCAGACCCCUCACCAGCUUUGUUGCCCUCCUCUGGACAUGCUCCAGGGCCUCAAUGUCUUUCUUACAGUGAGGGGCCCAAAACUGGACACAGUACUCGAGGUGCGGCCUCACUAGUGCUGAGUACAGGGGAAUAAUUACUUCCCUGUUCCUGCUGGCCACACUAUUUCUGAUACAAGCCAGGAUGCCAUUGGCCUUCUUGGCCACCUGGGCACACUGCUGGCUCAUGUUCAGUCUAGUGUCAAUCAACACCCCCAGGUCCAUUUCCUCUACACAGUCUUCCAGCCACUCUGCUCCAAGCCUGUAGUGUUGCCUGGGGUUAUUGCGGCCAAAGUGCAGGACUCGGCAUUUGGUCUUGUUGAAUCCCAUCCCAUUGGCUUCAGCCCAGCUAUCCAACCUAUCCAGAUCCCUCUGUAAGGCCUCGCUACCCUCAGGCAGAUCAGCACUUCCAGCUAGCUUGGUGUCAUCUGCAAACUUACUGAGGGUGCACUCAAUACCCUCAUCAAGGUCAUCAAUAAAGAUAUUGAAGAGGACAGGCCCCAGCACCGACCCCUGGAGAACACCACUCGUGACCGGUCACCAGCUGGAUUUAACUCCAUUCACUACCACUCUCUGGGCCCGGCCCUCCAGCCAGUUCCUUACCCAGCCAAGAGUGUAUCUGUCCAAGCCACGAUCUGCCAGCUUCUGGAGGAGAAUACUGUGGGAGACAGUGUCAAAGGCUUGGCUGAAGUCUAGGUAGACCACAUCAACAGCCUUUCCCUCAUCCACCAGACGAGUCAUUAGAUCAUAGAAGGAGAUCAGGUUGGUCAAGCAGGACCUGCCCUUUGUGAACUCAUGUUGGCUAGGCCUGAUCCCCCAGCUGUCCCGCACGUGCCGCGUGAUCUCCCUCAAGACAAUCUGCUCCAUAAU
rnacentral:lncRNA from 1 species